GUCUUUUUGAUUAUAAUUUAAAGUCUAACCUGCCCAAUGAAUUAUUCAAUGGCCGCAGUAUUUUAACUGUGCGAAGGUAGCAUAAUAAUUAGUUUUUUAAUUGAGAACUGGUAUGAAUGGUUGGACGAGAAAAUAGCUGUCUCAGUUUAAUUUUAAUUAGAAUUUUAUUUUUAAGUUAAAAAGCUUAAAUUUUUUUAAAAGACGAGAAGACCCUAUAGAGUUUUAUAUUAAAUUUAUUUUUAAUAUAUAAGGUAUUUUUUAUAUUUUAUUUAAAUUUAGUAUUUUAUUGGGGUGAUAUAAAAAUUAAAGUAACUUUUUAUUUUUUUUUACAUUGAUAUAUGAUUUUAUGAUCCAUUUUUUAUGAUUAAAAGAUUAAAUUACCUUAGGGAUAACAGCGUAAUUUUUUUUUAGAGUUCUUAUCGAAAAAAAAGUUUGCGACCUCGAUGUUGGAUUAAAA
rnacentral:rRNA from 1 species